rnacentral:misc_RNA from 1 species
GAUGAAGAACGUAGCGAAAUGCGAUAAGUAGUGCGAAUUGCAGAAUUCAGUGAAUCAUCGAAUCUUAGAACGCACAUUGCGCCCCUUGGUAUUCCAUGGGGCAUGCCUGUUCGAGCGUCAUUUGUACCUUCAAGCUCUGCUUGGUGUUGGGUGUUUGUCUCGCCUCUGCGUGUAGACUCGCCUCAAAACAAUUGGCAGCCGGCGUAUUGAUUUCGGAGCGCAGUACAUCUCGCGCUUUGCACUCAUAACGACGACGUCCAAAAGUACAUUUUUACACUCUUGACCUCGGAUCAGGUAGGGAUACCCGCUGAACUUAAGCAUAUCAAUAAGCGGAGGA